CGCUGCAUCAACCCGGCAUGCAGCAGCAGUAGCAGGCUGUGCUUUGGGAUCCAUUGUUCCAUGUUUUUCCACAGCCGGAGCGUAUUCCUUUCCAUUAAAACACCACGGCAGAACAAGCAAAGAGAAGAACAGAAACAUUAGGAGAUCUCAGCUUUGUCUGGUCAGGAUUAUUUCUAUUUGGGAACAUUGUUGUGGACAAAGGAGGAACCACACUUCAGCUCUUUGCUGUUGUCCAGGCUUGCAAUUGACUGCAUUGGGAAGUACGCUCUGGCAGUGUGGUGGCCAUGGGGCUGCCUGGUGGAGCUCGACUUGUGCUGGGGGUUUUAAAACAACCAGCGUGCCUCUUCAUCUGGAGGUUAUCGCUACUUUUCUUCUCCAUGUGGGCACUUGAUGCACAAACCACUGUAGAAACUAAACCCUUAUACAUCUGGCAAACAGGUCCUUGGGGUCGAUGUAUGGGAAGUGAGUGUGGACCUGGCGGCAGCCAGAGCAGAGCAGUAUGGUGCGCCCAUUCUGAAGGCUGGACCACCCUCCAUACAAACUGUGACCAGUCAGAGAGGCCAGACAACCAGCAGAGCUGCUUCAGAGUGUGUGACUGGCACAAAGAUCUGUACGAAUGGCAGCUGGGUGCUUGGAACCAGUGUGUCCCAGUGAUGAUGCGCAGUGCUGGGUUGCAGCGGCCAACAGUGUGCACACGGGGAGAGGAGGGCAUUCAGACACGGGAAGUGGGCUGUGUUCAGAAAUCUGAUGGCGAGCCUGCGGAGGACGUAAUUUGUGAAUACUUUGAACCUAAACCAAGGCAGGAACAGGCCUGUCUCAUAGCGUGUCCUCGGGACUGUGUGGUGUCUGAGUUCAGCCCGUGGACUUCAUGUUCUAAAACAUGUGGGAUUGGCUUACGGAAUCGGAUACGCUUUGUUCUGGCACCACCACUGUUUGGUGGGUCUGCCUGUCCAAAUUUGACUGAAUUUCAGACGUGUCAGCCUGGCCUGUGUGAGGGAGAGGAAAACCUUUACAGCCUCAGAGUUGGACCAUGGGGCUCCUGUUCUGUACCUUUGCCAAGGAUAGCCAGACAAGCUGAAAAACCACCCAAGGAGAGCAACAAGAGAUCUAGAGAAAGUGACAAAUCUGCUAAAGAGGGCAGCAAACAGCCAAGAGAUGGUGAAACACCAUCCAGAGGAGGUGACAAACAGGCCAGAGAAGACAGCAAACAGUCCAUGAAAGAAAGAAAAAAGAUGAGAGAUGAUGAAAAACAGUACCAAGAAAAGGACAUAAAGUCCACAGAAGGUGAGGAGAAAAUGUCCAAAAAUGGCAACAAACCAUCUUUGAGCAACAGAAAAUUGGUCAGAGCAAACAGAAAACAGGGCAAGACAUUCAGACAGGCAGACCGACCCAAAAGACAGAAAAAGAUAAAAAACAAGGCAAAAAAAGAGAAAAUGAGAGAAAAAGGCAAAGGAAGAUUAAGGGAAAAGGGGAAAACAAAAGACCCAGAGACCAGAGAGCUAAUCAAAAAGAAGAGGAACAAGAAUCGCCAGAACCGCCCAGGAGGAAAAUUCUGGGAUCUGCAAGUUGGCUACCAAACCAGAGAAGUGACCUGUGUUCACAAGAGUGGGACCAUUGAAGCUCUGAGCCUUUGUUCUCAGGAGAUGCUGCCAGUGACCUUUCAGGCCUGCGUGAUUCCCAGAGACUGUGAUGUGACUGAGUGGUCUGGAUGGUCAGCUUGCUCCAAGCAGUGCUACGACCCCAAUGGGGCGAAAGGGGAGCGCAGUCGCAGUAGGAAAGUGAGCCAAUUCCCAAUCGGUGGAGGAGUGGAGUGCCCAGAACUUGAAGAAAAAGAGCCGUGCAGCCCCCAGGACGGAGCGGUUCCUCCAUGCACUGUCUACACCUGGAAAACAACAGAGUGGACAGAGUGUAGGGUGGACAUGCUGCUGAGCCAGCAGGAUCGUCGGCGUGGAAACCUGACAGGCUUGUGUGGAGGGGGAAUCCAGACACGCGAGGUCUACUGUGUGCAGGCCAGUGCUGUUGCUCCACCUAAUCUCAGUUCACUGAGGAGUAGAGAAGGUUUGCGGCCAGUGGACAGUGAACUGUGUUUGGGGCUUCCUCCGAAUACCACACAGCUCUGCCAUAUCAGCUGCCCUGUGGAGUGUGAGGUGUCUUUGUGGAGCGCUUGGGGACCUUGCACUUAUGAGAACUGUCAAGACCAAACCACUAAGAAAGGUUUUAAACUGAGGAAGCGAAGGAUCAUCAAUGAGCCAACAGAUGGGACAGGAAAUUGUCCUCAUCUAGUGGAGGCCAUACCGUGUGAAGACCCCAGCUGCUUCGAGUGGCUCGUGGUUAAACUGGAGGAAUGUGUCCCUGACAAUGAGAUGGAGUGUGGUCCUGGUACGCAAAUUCCCCAAGUCCAGUGUAUCAACAGUGAUAGUGAAAAAGUGGAGGAGCAGCUUUGCCGGGAUGCCAUUCUUCCAAUGCCUACCAUCUGUGAGGUGCCUUGCUCCAAGGACUGCGCUCUAAGCCCUUGGACUCCCUGGUCAUUUUGCUCCCACACCUGCUCUGGAAAAAACACAGAGGGGAAGCAGACCCGAGUGCGUUCCAUACUUGCUCAUAACGCAGGAGAAGGAGGACUCCAGUGUCCCAAUGUCAGUGCACUGCAAGAGACGAGGAACUGCAAUGAGCAUCCAUGCACUGUGUAUCAUUGGCAAACGGGUUCCUGGGGGCAAUGCAUCGAGGACUCUUCAGGUCCGAACACUAACACGUCUUUGGGGAGAACGCGCGGCGAUGACAUCUCAUGCUCAGUGGGAAUGCAAACCCGGAAAGUCAUUUGUGUCCGGGUCAAUGUGGGCCAAGUUCCUCCUAAAAAGUGUCCAGAGAGUCUCCGUCCAGACACUGUAAGGCCGUGCCUGCUUCCCUGCAAAAGAGAUUGUACUGUCACCCCAUACAGCGACUGGAGCCUCUGCCCCCCGGCGUGUCAAACAGGUGAAAAGACUAAGAGUAAGCAGUACAGGAAGCGGAUGAUCAUUCAGUUACCAGCUAAUGGAGGACAGGACUGUCCUGAGAUUCUGAGUCAGGAAAGAGAGUGUGAAGCACCAUCUGUCUGUCAUGGCUACAGAUGGAAAACCCACAAGUGGCGUAGAUGUCAGCUCGUUCCAUGGUCUGUCCGACAGGACACUCCAGGAGCUCAGGAGACCUGCGGUCCAGGCAUUCAAUUUCGAGCCGUUUCUUGCCGAAAGCUGGACGGUGGGCAGGCAGACGUUGAGGUUUGUCUCAAGCUUGCCAGCCCCAUGCCUGUUCUCACUCAGCUGUGCCAUCUUCCAUGUCAAGAUGACUGUCAGCUCAGUAGCUGGUCCAAGUUUUCUACCUGCACAGCUGACUGUGUGGGCGUCAGAACCCGCAAGAGGAUACUAGUAGGAAAAAGCAAAAAGCGUGAUCAGUGCAAAAACAACCAGAUGUAUCCUCUGAGUGAGACGCAGUACUGUCCAUGUAAUAAAUACAACGCCCAGCCUGUGGGCAACUGGUCAGACUGUAUUAUCCCUGAGGGCAGUCGCAUGGAGAGCCAGCCUGGUGUGAGGGUGCAGGGAGACAUGAAGGAGUGUGGCCAAGGAUAUCGCUACCAAGCCAUGGUGUGCUAUGACCAGGACAACCGCAUAGUGGAAACGUCUCGCUGCAACAGUCAUGGUUAUAUCGAGGAGGCUUGUAUCAUCCCCUGUCCAUCUGACUGCAAAUUAAGUGAAUGGUCCAACUGGUCACGCUGUAGCAAGUCAUGUGGCAGUGGGGUCAAAGUUCGCUCUAAGUGGCUCAGAGAAAAGCCAUACAAUGGUGGAAGACCUUGUCCCAAACUGGACCAUGUGAACCAGGCUCAAGUGUAUGAGGUGGUGCCCUGCGUCAGUGACUGUGGACAGUAUGUCUGGGUGACAGAACCUUGGAGUGUAUGGAAGGUCAGCAGUGUGGACCUGAAGAGUAACUGUGGUGAAGGUGUGCAGACCCGAAAGAUCAGGUGUAUGCUCAACACAAUAGAUGGCCCAUCAGAGCAGGUGGAGGACUACCUCUGUGACCCAGAAGAGAUGCCUCUGGGAGCCCGGAACAGUCGCCUGCCCUGCCCUGAGGACUGUGUGCUGUCAGACUGGGGAGCCUGGAGCGCAUGUCCUCUGCCCUGCAGUGAGAACAGUACACGGGUCAGGGUUACUUUCCCACUCCGGAAGCCAGGAAAGGAGAAGAAAUGUCCUCCGACUAAAGAAGCUGAACCGUGUAAACUCAACAUCAACUGCUUUCACUACUCAUACAACAUCACAGACUGGAGCACCUGUCAACUCAGUGACAGAGCUGUUUGUGGAUAUGGCCUCAAAACCCGCAUGCUUGACUGUGUGCGAAGUGAUGGAAAAUCUGUAGACCUCAGUUUUUGUAAAGAGCUGGGUCUAGAACGGAAGUGGCAGAUGAAUGCUUCAUGUGUGGUGGAAUGUCCUGUCAACUGCCAGCUGUCUGAAUGGUCACCAUGGUCGGAGUGUACACACACCUGUGGCUUGGCAGGUACACUGUGGAGGACCCGAAGUGUAAUUCAGGCCGCUCAAGGUGAUGGCAGGCCGUGCCCGUCCCAGAUGAAACAAUGGAAGCCUUGUCUAGUAAAGCCAUGCUACAGCUGGCGAUACAGCGCCUGGUCAGACUGCAAGUCAGAUGCUGCGAGGUGUGGGGAAGGCAUGCGCUUCAGGAACGUGUCCUGCUUUGUGUCCGAUGGUUCCGGUCAGCAGGACAGCAGCGUUGUUGAUGAUGAGCUAUGUGGAGAUGUGGAACUUUCAGUGAAUGGAGACAGACUAAUUAUUCUGCAGGAGCUUUGUACUGUCCCCUGCCCAGGAGAAUGCUACCUGACAGAUUGGACUGUCUGGAGUCCAUGUCAGUUAAGCUGUGUGAGUGGGGAUGACCUUGGUUUUGGCUCUAUCCAAGUUCGAUCCAGAGCUGUAGUUGCUCAGGAUCCUGAAAACCUGCUUGAGUGUCCUGAACAAGAACUGGAGGCACGGCCAUGUGCAGGCGGACAGUGUUUUGAAUACAAGUGGAGGACUGGAACAUGGAGAGGUUCGUCCCGUCAUGUCUGGUGCCAGCGCUCUGAUGGGAUGAAUGUCACAGGUGGUUGUCUGGCAGCAGCCAAGCCAAUGGCGGAUCGAUCUUGUGAACCUCCUUGUACUAAACCAUGGUCUUUGUGCACAGAGGCAGGUGUGUGUGGCUGUGAAGAGGGCUACACUGAAGUGAUGACAUCUGACGGUGGGUUGGAUCAGUGUACUGUCAUCCCAGUGCUGGAGAUCCCAACUGCAAGUGACAACAAAGCUGACGUGAAGACCAUCCGAGCUUACAACCCCGUCCAGCCUGCAGCCAGCGCCCCGGGCAGAGCAGGGAGAACCUGGUUCCUGCAGCCCUUUGGUCCAGAUGGGACCCUGAAGACUUGGGUGUACGGCGUUGCAGCAGGAGUGUUUGUUUUACUCGUCUUUAUCAUUUCAAUGACAUACUUAGCCUGUUAUUGUGGUCGGUGCCUUUGCCGCAAGUCGAGGUCUGAUUGUCCCUCAGACAGGACUUACUGGACGGAACCAAGCACCUGCACAGUGCUUUACACCUGCCCUGCCUGCCAGAAACUAGAACAAGAUGAGUUCAAUCGGCAGAGCCAGCUCCAUCAGUGUGGUGCACCACUCCAGCAGCCGCCACCUUCACAGCUGGAGCACUCUCUGCCACCACCUCACUUUGAAACUCUUAUCACUUAGUCAGGGACUCACUCACUCCCUGUUGCAUCACUGCACAACCAAACAGCAGGUGCCUUAACACAGAACAGCUUUUGCCUCCCAGUGGAUCCUGUCCUGUGGUGAGCAAAAAGCCAAAGAAGCCACAGCGACGGCAGAUGAACAACAGACUGAAGCCUCUGACUCUGGCCUAUGAUGGAGACGCCGACAUGUAGAAGUCUUCCUCCUUACAGACGUACUGUACAAAAUUCUGUCCUUGCUGGGGAUGCAGGGUUGCUGGUAAUACCCGUUAAUGUCAGGGUCACUACUGGGCAUUGGUCAGCAAAUAUGCAGACUAAGUUUCUGACAGAAAAAGAAACCUCUGAGCUCAAGACACUAUAACUCUGUGUUUAUUAGCAGCUUUGAUGUUUCCAUUUUAACAUUUUAAAUGUAAUUUUUUUUUUAAAGAGCCUUCAUGACUUUACUAUCUUCCUCUGGAAGUCUGCCUUUGCUUUUCUGACAUCUACUACCACCAAUUGCAUUCAGACCAUAUUUAGUGGAGAGGAGGAAACCAGAAGACAUUUGCUACAAAAGCACAAAUACUCAGUCGUUAGUUGUUCAUUUCUUAACAGCUUAGUUGCAUGGUCUUUGCUCCACCUUUUCUCUUGGUCCUUCAAAGAACAUUUUGUCUUCUCUUAGUCAUUGCUUGAUGGACGGAACUGAAAAGUAAAAAUAUCACCAACAAAAGGAAAGCGAGCCCAAAGGAUCCUCGAGCUGCCAUCAUUCUGCCUGCCUCUCCCUUCUUAUUUCCAGGCGUGAUUUUGCACUAUAUUAGUGCAGCAUGAUAUGUACUUAUGUCUCGCUUUGCCAUAUGAAAACUGCCUCUCUCAAUACAAGAUGAUGUACAACUCUUGUGCUAGAAAUGUACAAAAAUACCUUUUUGCUAACAGAACUUAACAAUGUUUGAUAAUUUUUUUGUAAUACCUCUUGUAUGUUGUACAACAGAAUUUUGUAAAUAGAUUUUUCAGUGAUUUCACUUUGGCUAUCUAAUACACAAUUUACUGCUCUAUAUCCAAAACUCUGUUGGAGCCUUUAUUUGAGCUGGUAACUGUGACUUUACAUUAGGAUUUUUGACCAUUUUAGGAAAUUUAAGUUAUAACAAUAAAAUGCCCUUACCCAGCUGAAACUACUAGACUAAAAAUCUCUCACUAAUCUAUACAUUUCUGAUCAAAAUCUUAAGAAAGGGCAACACUGUUUGCAUUUUGUGCUGGUGGUUUGUAACCAGGUUGUCAGCUGGUUUCUAAAUGCAAAAAAAAAAAAAAAAAAAAAACAGGAGCAAGAGAAAAAACAAGCAAUAGAACAUUUUAUUGAAUACAUAGGAAGUUGCUCCACUCAUAUCAGACUUUUUAAACAUUCGUACAUCCCCAAAAGAUUUCUGUGGGAGUCCAUUCAGGAUAAUGUGCAGGAUGAUCCAGGAUGAUCCAAACGAGGCUCUAAAGACAACAAGCUGCUUUCUCAGGUAGCAGAUGGAUGAAACCCCGACCCUUCUGGUCAUACUGACCGUUUAAUGACUCUAGAGCUGUCUUCACCCAGCUAUAUGAAGAACUGCUCAUUCACAUUGGAAGCCAUCAGGUCAAUCUAGUAAUUUUUAUUCUCAUCAGAAAAUGUUAAGAUAUUCAGGCUUUCAAUGGGCUGGCAAAUCUAAAUGGUCAAGUUAGUAGUGUGGGCUUUGAAGACUUUUAUUUUGUUCUUUAAGGCCAUCUCUCAGAAGUCGUCUUUAUGAUGCUGAACUGCAGUCAGAAUUAGUGAGGACCUUUAUUUGAGAAGGAUUAGCUUGUGUCUUCACAGACAACAGAACAUCCAGCUCAUUGCAGGUGAAACCUCUUUAGGUCUACCUUUAGACAUUUUCAUCCCGUAGCGUUUUAGAGGCUUAUAAUGAAUCUCUUAUUACAUCCAGCUUCAGCAGUCAUGUCACUUUGUGAGACAAACUUGCUUGCGCAGCUCAACAAUCCUGCCACAUCCAAAGACAGAACAUCUUCCUACUUUUGUCUUUCUGACAAAAGCAGGAAUACUUUUGUCAGGACGGAACUGAAAAGUAGGAAUACUUUUGUGAGGGGAACUUGACAAUGUAAUGAAAAUGACAUGAAAUACCCAGAUUUUAACUGUUUGAGGCAGGUCUGAACAGGAUCUUAAACUUUUGAUCAUCUGACAAUUAGGUCUGUUUGAGAGCUUAAAUGCAAAUUUACCUCUUUUGCCCACAAUGGUUGAUGAUAACAUGUUGGGCAAAUUCUAUUAUUUGCUCACAAUAAAAAGUCUCUUGCUUCUGUGUUUUAAUGUUGCAUAUUGCUGCUCUUACAGGGCCAUCAUUCACCUUUGCAUGAAAUGUGAAUACUUCAAAAUUCUUUCUUAAUGUUUUAACCAGAAAUGGAUUCCAGUUUCAGUUUUCACAAGUUGUUUUUCUUUUCUUCAUUUUGUUUUUAGAAACAUAGUUGUUUAUCUUUAAUUACCUUUUCUGCUAUUUAAAGGAGACCCAUUAUGCAAAAUGUACUUUUUGAUUCCUGCUACUGGAAUCACAAUCUGCUACUGACGUGGAUAGUAACACUUUAUUUGCAUAAAAGUGACAGCAAUAAAACAGCUCAUUCUGAAAGGAGUUCAAAGUAGGCAGAACUAAACAGGUGAAAUAUCAUUGUCUUAAAAGGAUUUUGUGCAAAAAAUGUAAAGAACAUUGUCUGUUUCACCCAUAGAUCAAUGCUUCUCUAUUCCACUGCCCUGUGUGUUUUACAUGCAUCUUUGUUCCAAAACACCUGAUUCAAAUGAUAGCAUGACCUCCUCUGCAUGUCAUCCAGAGCUGCAGAAGCCUGUUUAUCACCUACUUAUUCCAGUCAGGUAUGUGGCAGAAGGGAAACACCUAUAGCAUGUGGGGCUGGGUCUCUGAGGACCAGGACUAAGAAACACUGCCACACACCCAUCCUAUGUUGUUUAAAGGGAAGCAUAUUAGGUUCUCUCAACCAUCUUUUUCCCACUUUGUACUUUGAAUAAAUACCCAUUUAUACUUCAAUCUGCAUUUAUAAUCUGUCUUUCAAAGAAAUGAAUGCAUUUAGCGCAACAUUUUGUAUGAAAAGACAGACUUUACAGUUUGUAGUAGUAAACUGAUAAAUGACUGAAGCCCAGUUGCAGGUGUUUAAAAAAAUGGAAACACUGGAUGUUAAUGGAGGGGUGUUGUUCUGGUAUUAUUCAUCUUGUAUCAAAGACAGUGUAACCUACAGAAAGCCUUUAUGGGAGGGUUUAUUGUUAAUCUCUGAGAUCCUUCAGUAGACAGAGUGGUAAUUAAUUAAAAAUAACAUGUUGAACAUGUUUUUUUUCUCUUCCAAAUGACAGUGCCCUUAAUUUUAAACAAUAGUUUUAAAAUACGACUCUUUGCAUUCCAAAUGGUCAUCCCCAAAUACUCCAGUAAUCCAAAAUAUAACAAGUCUCUUCGAGGUGGUAGGAAGGAUUUUAUUGUUUUGUGGAAUGUGUACAUGGAAUGUUUAAUUUAUUUUUUUCUAAGCUUAUUAUUUGUAAAUACUGGUUUUAUUCUUAAUUUUAUUUAUUACUAAUGUAACACAAUGUUUCUUUUUGUACUGCACAACAUGUUUCACAUGAAGGCAAUUGAAAGACAAAACAGGAGUGAAUGUGGUUGUAAAAGUGAAAAAGCUACCUUGUAAAAAGUUGCUUCUAAACUUCUCUUUCCUACUGUUUCUUUAUAUGUAUUUGAUUACCUGCUGAUAAUAAACAAUCAAAAAUAUGUUCUGUUAUCUUU